rnacentral:rRNA from 1 species
CAUGCCGUAAACGAUGAGUGCUAAGUGUUAGGGGGUUUCCGCCCCUUAGUGCUGCAGCUAACGCAUUAAGCACUCCGCCUGGGGAGUACGACCGCAAGGUUGAAACUCAAAGGAAUUGACGGGGGCCCGCACAAGCAGUGGAGUAUGUGGUUUAAUUCGAAGCAACGCGAAGAACCUUACCAGGUCUUGACAUCCAACUAACGAGGCAGAGAUGCGUUAGGUGCCCUUCGGGGAAAGUUGAGACAGGUGG